CCUACGGGAGGCAGCAGUGGGGAAUAUUGGACAAUGGGCGAAAGCCUGAUCCAGCAAUGCCGCGUGAGUGAAGAAGGCCUUCGGGUUGUAAAGCUCUUUUACCCGGGAAGAUAAUGACUGUACCGGGAGAAUAAGCCCCGGCUAACUCCGUGCCAGCAGCCGCGGUAAUACGGAGGGGGCUAGCGUUGUUCGGAAUUACUGGGCGUAAAGCGUACGUAGGCGGCUUUGUAAGUCAGAGGUGAAAGCCCACGACUCAAUCGUGGAACUGCCUUUGAGACUGCUUCGCUUGAAGAUGGGAGAGGUUAGUGGAAUUCCGAGUGUAGAGGUGAAAUUCGUAGAUAUUCGGAAGAACACCAGUGGCGAAGGCGGCUAACUGGACCAUUCUUGACGCUGAGGUACGAAAGCGUGGGGAGCAAACAGGAUUAGAUACCCUGGUAGUCCACGCCGUAAACGAUGAUAACUAGCUGUCGGGGCUCUUGGAGCUUCGGUGGCGCAGCUACGACAUUAAGUUAUCCGUCCGUCGGGUAGGUACGGCCGGCGAACGGUUAAACGUACAAGGAAGUUAGACGGCGUGAGACGUGCCGAACGGACGACGACGAGGGAGGUAGG
rnacentral:rRNA from 1 species